GCGGCCUUGGUCUAGUGGCUAGGAUUCCAGCCUGCCAAGCUGGUGGCCCGGGUUCGAAUCCCGGAGGCCGCA
rnacentral:tRNA from 1 species